UGCGUGAGAACACCAGUCGCCUCUACA
rnacentral:piRNA from 3 species